rnacentral:rRNA from 1 species
UGGGGAACCUGCCCCAUAGUCUGGGAUACCACUUGGAAACAGGUGCUAAUACCGGAUAAGAAAGCGGAUCGCAUGAUCAGCUUUUAAAAGGCGGCGUAAGCUGUCGCUAUGGGAUGGCCCCGCGGUGCAUUAGCUAGUUGGUAAGGUAAAGGCUUACCAAGGCGAUGAUGCAUAGCCGAGUUGAGAGACUGAUCGGCCACAUUGGGACUGAGACACGGCCCAAACUCCUACGGGAGGCAGCAGAU